CUGAAGUCACAUGAGUGUUGCCAGCCGAAUUUGGGUACUUCCACUUUAAGUUCUCUGAUAAAGUAGCUUAAUGAUGGGGGUAUUUUAUUGACUCGUUUAAUAGAAUCAUAAAGACCAUAAAGCAACCUUGCAGGUUGCCACUUUCUCUCUUACUAACUGUGUGACGUUGGACAAGUCUUGUUACUUCUCCAUUUCCUUAUCUAUAAAGCAGGACAAUUCCUUUUGUAAAAAGAAAAAUGAUAGCAAAAUGUAUUGACUACAUACUGUGUACCAGACAUUGAGGUUGGUCCAGGGAAGUAAUCAAGGAUGGAACAAGCACAGACAGUCCUCUCAAGGAAUUUAAGACAACAAGGAGAAUCGAGCCAAGGAGAACAAUAGUAACACAAGACAGACAGGAGACGGGUCAGAGAAAUGCACGAACUGAAGUGUUGGAGCGUAGACCAUGACCACUUCCUCGUUGUCUGACUUUAUUCUGACUGGAAAGGCGUUCAGCAAAGGACUAGAUGGGUUUUGUCAUCAUCAGAGCUGCAGAACAUAUACACCUGAAUUUUGAUAUAUAUGAUAAAUAUAUGAACAGCAUGUUCUUGUCUCAGACCACAAAUUAAUGCAUCUCCAGUGCUGAGCAUGACAUCUUGGGUCAUUUAACUAACUCCUUUGUACAGGUUACCUUCCUCUAUCAACACCAUAAAAAGGAGAUUGAUGGCAGCAUUUACAGUCACUGCAAAGACAACCUAAUGAGUGGGUAUUUCUUCCUUUUCAAUGAGACAAGAGGCUCAAAAAAAAAAAAAAAAAAAAAAGGAAAGAAAAGAAAAAGAAAGUGGCUCUUUCUUCACCUCUGAGAUGGAUGUCUCAGAGAAUAAAUACAAAGAAAAGAUAGAUGACUGAAAUGAUUGUUCCCUGGAAGUAAUUGUAUAGUUUUUAGAGGAGUGAAGUAGGAUUCAAGGAGAAUCUUAUACAGCAAUUAGGGAGAAGUUGGAACUAAAAAAAUGUAUGGAAGAAAAGACAAGAAAAAAGAGAAAGGACUAAAGAUACCAAAAUACAAACACUGGCCAUGACUUCCAGAAGAGCUGCUUGCCUUUGGUGCCCGAGCAGCGCCUAGGAGACCCCGACACGCUUUUCUUUCCCUGAGAACUUGGGGACGAACGCCCUCUUGCAGCAAGCACGGUGCAGGUUAUGUUCGGAUCCUAAAAGUGUCAGCCUCUCAAGUGCAGCACCCGGGAAGCUGGUUUCCUCCUGGAGCUUCAGGCCUCCACACGCACUGUGGAUGCCAACAGAUGACUCCUGCUGGCACUCUUCUGAUGUCACUUGGCCCAAACCCGGAGCGUGAUGUCCCUGGGGCCAGCCGCACCCCCUCACGGCCUCCUCUGGUGAAGAAGGCCGGGCUGACCUCUGCUGGGCUCCCUGGGCCGGGUCGCUGCCUGGCCCUCUCUUGCUCUCUCUGGGAUGUCCGCCCUGCCUGACCCGCUCCAGCUGCUUCCCAUUCAUUUCCUGGCUUCACAGCUUGCAGAGGGCUUGGGACUUCUUCCCGAGCGAGGCGGUAAUCAGCAUUCUUCACAGCUGGCAGUUUUCCUGCCAAAUGGGAGUCUUCCUCUAGCAGCGUCCCCC
ensembl:lncRNA